rnacentral:rRNA from 1 species
GGCGCACGGGUGCGUAACGCGUAUGCAAUCUACCUUUUACAGAGGGAUAGCCCAGAGAAAUUUGGAUUAAUACCUCAUAGUAUAGUACCUUGGCAUCAAGGAACUAUUAAAGUCACAACGGUAAAAGAUGAGCAUGCGUCCCAUUAGCUAGUUGGUAAGGUAACGGCUUACCAAGGCUACGAUGGGUAGGGGUCCUGAGAGGGAGAUCCCCCACACUGGUACUGAGACACGGACCAGACUCCUACGGGAGGCAGCAGUGAGGAAUAUUGGACAAUGGGCGCAAGCCUGAUCCAGCCAUGCCGCGUGCAGGAUGACGGUCCUAUGGAUUGUAAACUGCUUUUAUACAGGAAGAAACAUUCCCUCGUGAGGGAGCUUGACGGUACUGUAGGAAUAAGGAUCGGCUAACUCCGUGCCAGCAGCCGCGGUAAUACGGAGGAUCCAAGCGUUAUCCGGAAUCAUUGGGUUUAAAGGGUCCGUAGGCGGCUUAAUAAGUCAGUGGUGAAAGCCCUACGCUUAACGUAGGAACGGCCAUUGAUACUGUUAGGCUUGAAUUAUUAGGAAGUAACUAGAAUAUGUAGUGUAGCGGUGAAAUGCUUAGAGAUUACAUGGAAUACCAAUUGCGAAGGCAGGUUACUACUAAUGGAUUGACGCUGAUGGACGAAAGCGUGGGUAGCGAACAGGAUUAGAUACCCUGGUAGUCCACGCCGUAAACGAUGGAUACUAGCUGUUGAGAGCAAUCUCAGUGGCUAAGCGAAAGUGAUAAGUAUCCCACCUGGGGAGUACGUUCGCAAGAAUGAAACUCAAAGGAAUUGACGGGGGCCCGCACAAG